rnacentral:lncRNA from 1 species
GGGGAAGCAGUCAAGUUGUAAGAAUAUGGGACCUUCAGAGGAAACGCUGCAUCAAAUGGUUGAGGGGUCAUACCAAUACUAUAACAGGUGCAAUGUACAAUUGCAAAGAUGAGCACUUGGCUUCUAUCAGUUUAAGUGGGGACCUUAUUCUCCAUAACCUUGCAUCGGGAGCAAAGGCUGCUGAACUCAAGGAUCCUAAUGAACAGGUUGUUUAGGUUCUUGCAGCUGGGUUGUAUUCUAGUGUUUAUGACCGAGAGUCUCUGCUACCCAAGCUAAUUGUUUGUCUGAUGGAUUUAAGGCCAGGUACUGAGGGUGCUUGAUUAUUCACGGAAUAGUCGGCACCUUUUGGUGACAGCAGGUGAUGAUGGGACUUUACAUUUGUGGGAUACUACUGGGCGUAGCCCAAAGGUAUUCAGUAUUUCCAUUAUUGGGUUCGGAAACAUGUACAUACUAUGGGACGUCUGAUGUGGUUUAAUGAAUUGCAUGCAUAAGAAGAGUUUCAUUUAACUUACUGAAUGUCGUGCUUACGUUGGUCCUUUCAAAGCUAGAUUUCAAAUACUUUGUUGGAAAAAUCCUGUUGAUUUUGUGCUUGUGUCGUCAUAGUUAUUGUUAAGUAAUUGUAAUUUUGAAUGAGGUGUGGUAGCACAGAAUUUUAGAAAGUACAUCCAGAAGUCAAGAUGAUUUCCUUUAAUUUAGCAAAUCUUUUUGUUCCAAAUAAUAUUUAGAUGUUGAGUUAGGCUGCUCCCUACCUUGAAAUAUUUCAGAUAUGCUCAUCAUCUUUUCUGAUAGGGGAUCUGCUGCUUAUCAUGGAAACAUCCGACUUACACUAUGGUCAAGCCAUUCAUGCAUCUUUCUAAUAUCCUCUUUUUCUUCCACUAUCAGAUUUUUGGCAUUGGCCAGUAAUAGGGGGGUUGGUUAAAAAUGAGGAGAGAACUUUUUGACUUGCACUCUUCUGUUUUGGGUUCAUUAGUAUUAUCAUCUUUCUAAUAUCCUCUUUUUCUUCCACUAUCAGAUUUUUGGCGUUGGCCAGUAAUAGGGGGGUUGGUUAAAAAUGAGGAGAGAACUUUUUGACAUGCACUCUUCUGUUUUGGGUUCAUUAGUAUUAUCAUGUCCAAUAUUAAUUCCUUGUAGCACUGUAGAUGCCCUUGUUUUAGGUUUGAAACAAUUUUUCAGGAUCAUAACAAUCACUUUUCUGCUUACAGGUUUCUUGGUUGAAACAGCAUUCUGCACCAACUGCUGGGAUUAGCUUCUCAUCCGAUGAUAAGGUAUAGUCUUUAUCUUAUUAACUCGGCACCUUUUUGCAAUAAAUUGACAGAGAUGUAAGAAGGUGAAUAUAUCAUGCUCUGAAACAGUCCCGUAUGGGGUCAUCCAGUGAAAGUAAUUAAACGUUAUUUUACCUAAUGUUCUCCUUGUGACAGAUAAUUGCUAGUGUUGGACUGGAUAAGAAGCUAUACACUUAUGACCCAGGGUCUAGAAGACCCUCAUCUUGCAUCACAUAUGAGGCACCUUUCUCUUCGUUAGCAUUUAUAGAUGAUGAUUGGAUAUUGACAGCAGGAACAAGUAAUGGCCGUGUGGUGUUCUAUGAUAUUCGUGGCAAACCACAGCCGUUAACUGUUCUUCGUGCUUGUAGUAGUUCAGAGGUGACUUCUUUACUUGUGUAUAUAUUUUAAUAAAGAAUCCCAGAAUUUGCAAAUGUCUCUUUAAUGUUGUUUUUCUUGUAGCAAUUGCUUGUGACAUCAACAUGUUGUAAUCAGUUUUGGCUUGUUUUUAUAUUAUUUUUUGUGUAUUAAACUAUGUGUUGAUGUAUUCAUUAUUAACAUGCUAAGGUUUGAUUUUACCGUAUAAGAGGCCUUUCUCUUGUUGACCUAAGGUUCAGUUUGAUGUUGUUUGCCUUAUUGUUUAUUUGUGGAGUUCAGAGUAUUAGAUCAUGUUUUGGCAAUCUCUAUAAAUACUAAGUAUUUGAAGUGUUUAUCAGGCUGUGUCAAGUUUGUGCUGGCAAAGAGCAAAGCCAGUUUUUAUUGAUGAGACUACUUGCAAAGCUGAGACUGCUCUUCUAGGAGGUGCUGUUGGGGACUCUAUUCUUAUGCCUGACCCACUUCCCUCAGUGACAUCAUCAAGCGUUUCACUGUCCACUGCUGCAUCCGGUUCUCGUCCUAGUAGCCGUUCAGGUCCUUCUGCAGAAACAUCUUCUCUUACUGUGGGUGGUACUGGUUCUGUGUCUAGGACACAAAGUCUGCCUUCAGGAGAGGAAACACCACAACGUAGCUAUCUCCGUCCAGGCGGACCAUUGGCAAGAUUACAUGCCCCUCGAUCAAGUUAUAAUUUUAAGGAUGAUAUGGAAGUGUUUUCCCCUCUUGUUGAUGUUCAGCCAAUUACACCAUCACUUGAUAAACUGUGGGAUGGUCAUGAAGGAGCGAAGAAAGAUCAUCUACCCAUUGACAAGAAGCCUUCAUCCAUGUUGUUUCCUUCAUCCAGCAGGAGAUUCCCUUACGCAGAGGAUGGUUCAAAUGAGCACUCAGUAUUUGAUUGGAAAUCCAGUUCAACGUCUAAACAGGUUUGUCCUGAUUUCAGUUUUGUUUCCAGAUGCUUCCUGCAAUGUGUGAAUAUUUCUUUCUUUCUUCUGGGUGUAAGAUAUUAAUUUCAACCUUUAGCACAGUUUUAUUUUGGUGUAGCUACUUUGGUGAGUGCUCUAAAUAUACACUGUUGGAAGACGACAACAGCUGUUUUCUACAUCGUACUGGACGUUUGGCAGUGUCAAAAUAUUCUCAAAGUCAAUAAUUCAACUGCCUUUGGGUCUUAGAAUUCAUGAGAUUUUUUGCCGUCCAAGUUAGCUUCUGUUUUCUCAUGGUUUCUUUCUUUUUAAUCUUAAUCGCAUGUUAGGGGAGAUAUGAAUGUGAAUUGGCUACAAUCUUGUAUGUAUGGUCAGUUAUUUUAGAUAUUUAAUGCAUAGAUCAGGUAAAUUGGAUUGUUCUCCAGAACGUGAUGUGUUUUCAAUUUCUUCGUGGCAUUGCAUUGAUGUUUGUCUUUUUGCAGGAUGACGCCAGAUCUUUUGCGCUAUUGGGAUCAACACCUUCUCCAUCUUCCAAGAGCGAAGACUCUUCCAUCACUCCUCCAGAAGCCUGGGGUGGUGAGAAAUUAUCUGACAAAUUUGCCCUCCUCCGUCAGCCACUCAAUAUGGCAUCUCGUUAUGGGAUGUCAACUUCUAGUGGUCUCACAUCAAGUUCAAUGUAUUCUGGACUGCAAGAUGUGUCACUGAGUCAGACAAGUAUUAGCUCAUUGACAGAUUCUAACCCGAGCCGUGAAAACCUGCGUACCAAAGAUGUCACUUCAUAUCAGGAGACUUCGUCUUUGGGAUUUCCAGAACACCUCUCAUCUAGUUUCCCAUCUCUGUCUCUUGGUACAAAAGGCAUCCUGGGAUCAGGUAACCUUGACUCAUCGAGAACGUCAUCUUUAACAUUGACUCACCGAGAACCCCGAAGGACGUAUGCUGAGAGAAUUAGCACUACUUCUGGGACAUCCCUUUCAGUCGGUUCACCUAAAACAAAGAAAACAGGAGCAGAAACCAAGGAAGAACUUUUAAGUAACUUCUUAUUGAGGUCUGACACAUCAGCUGUAGUAGAACCUGGAAUUCCUCCAGCUAUAAAUGUAAGAAUCCCGAUUCAUUCAGUAAUUGUUUGCGGUCACAUUUGAACAUCUCCUUUGCUUUUGUAGAAAAGUUCCAGCAUGAUUAAAUCCUAUUUCAAUGCUUUGUCACCACCCAAGCCUUCAGUAAUACUGGCUAAAUAUGGAUUUGAUAAGUUUAGGACAGUCUGUGCUGUGUUGAUUGAAACCACUAAGUGGUAAUUGCAUAGUGAAUCCUUGACGUUAAACUUUGAGGGAUGUAAUGACACUAACUUUCUUCCACUUUAAAUCGGAUUAUAAUGGAUGUUGAUUUAUUCACAGGGUGGAAUGUCUCAAUCCCUAAAAAGCCCUCAGCCAGAUCCACCACAGGGCAGUAACUUCACACUUCAGCUCUUUCAACGUACACUUGAAGAAACUCUUGAUUCGUUUCAGAAAUCCAUACAUGAAGAUAUGAGGAACCUUCAUAUUGAAAUUUUAAGGCAAUUCCAUAUGCAGGAGGUAUGUAUGUGUUGUACUCUCGAUUUACCGUUAGUUUUCCAAAAUUUUUUGUCUCACAUAUAAUUAUCACAAUACUGUUACAGACUCAAAUGUCCAAUGUAAUGAGCUCAAUUCUUGAAAACCAAGCUGAGCUGAUGAAGGAAAUUAAGUCUCUGAGGAAAGAAAACCAUCAGCUCCGCCAACUGCUUUGAACACGGGUGAAGAUGCAUUAUUUGUGUGAUUAUUUGUUGAAGGAAUUUCGUAUCUUCUUGUCUAUUUAUUUAUUUGUCAUAGUUUGUUUUUACUCAAUGCCCACUGCCUGGUGGCCUUUUUUUUUUUAAAUAGCUAAUUACAAUUGAUUUUAUAAGCAGCGAUUUCAAAGCCGGGUUGAAAAAAGAAAGAAAAAUCAGUUGUGAAGAAUGAUAAAGAUGGAGUGUUCUUAGAGAUAGGAGGUAUGAACAUGUACAGAAGUAUCUUUCUUCUAACAAAAUGAAGCUUUUAAUUGGGUGAUUGAUAUCCAAAUUACCUGUUAGUUUGUUAGGUUAUAGGAAAUACUUACAUUGAAUGUACAGUUCUCCGGUGCUUUUUUUUGGCUUUUUAUUUUGAUUUUUGUUUAAUUACCUUUUAUUUUUGCUUGUGAAAAAUGUAGACGUAGAUCGGCUUCACUAAACUCGUGAAGAACUGAGGGGGAAAAAAAAAGAAGUAUUUAAUAAAGCGUCAUUGGCAUAACAUGUUGAUUCUAUGGUGCUAAACCACGGAGUGGGUAUCAAGUGGAGUCAACAGCAGAGUGUGUAUUGAGGCCUAUUUGGAGUGCGUUUGAAAGCUAUAGGCACUUUAUUUUAUAAGUAUUAAAAAAAAGAUUAUUUAGUAAAUUUUUAGAAAAUUUUUAUUUUUAAUAACGAUAAGUUUGGGGCUAGGGACUUGUGUGGUUGAUGAAAUAAGUUGUAAAUAAGUUAUUGAUUUAAAAAGUAGCUUAAUAUAUAGCAAAUUAUGUUGUCAUGGUAGUUGUGAGUUUGAAAAAUGAAGAUUGUGUUUAAUAAAUUUUAUUACAAAAUAAUUGUUAAUAAUCAAAAUAGACAUAGCUUUAAAUUUCUUAUAUGUGUGUGUGUGUGUAUUAGGGCUUACAAAAAAUAAGUUAUAAUUAUCUUUUUGUUAAAAUAUUGAGGUUGUAAUAUGGAGUAUAGUGACUUAUUUGAUAAGUUGUUUAUGGAAAAUAAUCAUCACUUACUUUUAAAAGCUACUAUUGAAAUAGAGAAAUAUAUGAAACAAUAGUUUUUAACAUAAUUUAUCAAAUAUCUUUUUAUCAAAAUUUAUUAAUGGAGUUUAAAUAAGUCACCACAUUUUUUUUUAAUUCUUAUUAUAAUUAAUAUGUUAGCAAAAGGAUAAUUGUAUUUUAUUUUUCCACAAAGUCUAAUUUAAAUUUGUGUCUUUUUUGUCAUUGUAUAAUAAAAUAAUAUUUGUGUUAUAAAAAUUAUUAAAGGCAUAUACUCUGCUUUUUAAGUCCACAGUAAUUUCAAUAAUACAAUUUAUCAAACACUGAAUUUAUUUUAAAUUAAUAAUUUAUUUUAUCAGUCAUUAUAAUCUCAAGUGAAAAGAUAUGCUAUGUAAGAAAUUAUAUCACAAUCGCAGGGAGCUAUACAAUAAUUACACAAACAUAAUUUCCCUGGAAAGUAACCAAAUACGAGAAAACGUAAGUACUGCUAAAUAACGAGUUCUAAUUUGAGUUAGAAAAGUAAUUGACGUGUUAUUCAUUUAUGACUGUGGAAUAAUAAUUUUUUAAAAAUGAUAUUUGAAAGAAAGGUGGAUCCGAUUUUUAAUAAGUAAAUAAAGGGAUUGAGAUAAAAUAUUGAAACUGAUACAUUAAAAUGGCUUUGCACAAAAAAAAAAAAAAAAAAAAAAAAUCAACGUCUUGGUGACCACGUCAUUUAGCGUUCACAAACACAAUCACGUUCGACUUCAGCCCUCCACCCAACAUCCCCAAUCCCGUCUUCAUAUUUUCCCCCAAACCAACAGCCACUUCCACUUGCUUUCUCUCUCUCUCUCUCUCUCUCGCUCGCCGCCUUGUCCUUGAACACCACCAAAACGGUCUCCUCCUCUGUCGUUUCACACGCACACACGUGUCCACCAAUACGUGUUCACAUUCUAUACUAUGCCAUUCUUUUUUUUUUAUCACUUAUAAGUUAGUUAUUUCUGUUGAAUUCAGGUUUUUGAAUUGAAAAUGGCAGAAGGUAAUAAAACUGUUACUGCAUACGAGGAAGCGUUGGAUGCUUUGUCUUCUCUUAUAACAAAACGCAGCCGUGCUGAUAAGAGCAACAACGGGGAUCGCUUCGAGCUGCUUUCCGAUUAAUAUUGUAUUAAAAUUAAUUAUGAUAUUUUCCUCUUAGUAACAAUCAGGAAGCAGAGGCUCAACUCCUGCACCUUGCAUGCACAACAUUUAGGCUCAUCACAGGCUCUGCGAUCAUUAUCGAUAGCUUAGCAUUAGAUCAAGAUUAAUUGAUAAAACAAAAGUCAUAUGAUAAAUUAAUAAUCAUGCGAUAGUACUAAUGAAAAAUAACCACCAAACAAUCCAUUUUCAUAAUGCUCGAUCACAAUUAAAACCCUUUUCAAUUCAUGCAUUAAAGCUUUCUUUCAUUAGGAAAUAUAUAUAAUAUAUAUUACAGUCUAAUUAAAAUGCUCACCGAAACCAAAAUCAAAAUCAACUCCUCCACUAACACUAAUAUCUUCAUUAACAUUAACAUUAAUAUUACCAAACGCAUCUGGAUGAUCAUUCCCCAAAUUCAUAUGAGGCACCAAAUAUUCAUUCAUCAUUAUUUCAUUAACCCUCAUUUCAACUUUCCCUUUCAAUUUCUUCAUAGCCUUUAAGUACUCUUCAAGCUCUUCAAUUCCCAUAUCAUCAAUAAUAUUACCCUCUUGCCACCAGAACCUACCAUUAUUUUUAUUCUUCUUUUUCUCCUCUUCAAUCAUCUUCCCCCUCUUCUUCUCCUUCUCCAACUCUUGCGUGGCAUCUUCAUACUCUUUGUUAUGCUGUUGUACGCAUGGUAUCGCGUUAACUUCGUCUAGAGACGAGUGAUUUUGAUCGAGAUAACGGUUCAAAAUCUUGUCAAAGUCAGGAUGCCCGGCGAGGAAGAUCUUCCCAUUGGGAGAAAACACAAUGAUGCCUACUUCAGCACCACACAAGACACAUAGCUCCAUGGCUUUGCUAAAAAGGCCAGACCGGCGCUUCGAGAAGGUUACUUGCAGGCUGUUUUUGUCUUCAAGUUUCUUGAUUUGAAUCUUUUGCCUCCCCCUUGUUAUCUUCUUUUUGUUGUUGGGAUCAAUAUUGUUGCCAUUGUUGUUGUUAUUUAUCUUGAUGUUAUUGUUCAUGGUGAUUGAGAUGGGGAAUAAAGAAAGAGAUAGAGUUGGGGCUUAAAUUUUUUUUUUCCUAGGGUUUGGACAGUAGGAGAUGAAAGUUUAUUUUGAAGUAUAUAUAAUUUCAUAUAUCGUGUAAGAUUACUUCCUUUUUAUUUUUUUGGGUAUGUAAGAUCUUUAAAGAUGUUCUUGUCUAAGCUAAAAAUCAGCACAAAAAAAAAAAGAAAAGAAAAGAAGAAAAAGACUAAUUACCCUAAUGACAAAUUAUUACCAUACUUAUCUUAUUAAGAGAAAUAAAGGCUGAUAGCAAUAAAACUUAAUGGAUAGAGAUACAGGGAGAAAGCUUCUUGACAAUUUUAGAAAAAAUACAUUGACUUUCUUCUUUUCUCUCCUUGAUCUUUGAAAUCUGCCUUUUUUUUUUUUUGUAUUUUCCACGUUUUAUUCUUUAUUUUUCUUUUCGUGUAAGCCAGGCUAGGAAAUAGGAAUUACGAUAGUUAAUUAAUUUAAGUAUUUAUUGUGCAUAAAAAAAAAAUGCAAUCUUGCAAGAUUUGUUAAAUCAUCGUUGCCAUUGUAUUUCCUUAUGAAUAAUAUUCUUCCAACUUUAUUUAAAAAAAAAAAAAAUUCCAGCUAGCUUUGAAUUGAUUCCUGCAGAUUUAGUUGUUGCAAGUGCUGGAGAAGAUAAGAAGAUAUCAUUGUGGAGGAAGAAUGGGGAGAGCAUGGGAACAAUUCCGGUAGCUGGUACAGAUAGCGGAGACAAUAUUGAGGUAAUCCUCUUCUAGCUCUGAUCUACCAUCAAUCGAAGCAUUAAAUUUGAAGCAUGUGGGUUUGUCCAUGUGUACUUCUAGCACCAGUCAUUCUAUCUUCUAGACAUUCAAUGACAGAACGGUGCAUGUUCGAUUCCAUGCCAGCAAUGGCUCAUCCGAAGCCACUUUUUAAGGAGUUGUCUUCUGUGUGGGAAAGGUUUUGAACUUCAAUUGUUUUUUCCCCCCAAUUUGUCAUUCAUUCUGCCAGCUUCAGUUGCUUGUGGUAAACUAAAGAUCGGCAUUUUCCAGUAAAUGGGCUUUACAGGUCUAAUGUAUCAACUUAUUUUUGGGAAUUUUUCUCAUUUUUUCAGGAAUCAAUAUUGGCUAUUAGUUUCGGGAUCCAGAUAUAUAUGUUCUGGGGGAAGCAGUCAAGUUGUAAGAAUAUGGGACCUUUAGAGGAAACGCUGCAUCAAAUGGUUGAGGGGUCAUACCAAUACUAUAACAGGUGCAAUAUACAAUUGCAAAGAUGAGCACUUGGCUGUUAUCAGUUUAAGCGGGGACCUUAUUCUCCACAACCUUGCAUCGGGAGCAAAGGCUGCUGAACUCAAGGAUCCUAAUGAACAGGUUGUUUAGGUUCU